ACGUACACUCCUGCGGGAGGCAGCAGUGGGGAAUAUUGCACAAUGGGCGCAAGCCUGAUGCAGCCAUGCCGCGUGUGUGAAGAAGGCCUUCGGGUUGUAAAGCACUUUCAGCGGGGAGGAAGGCAAUGCGGUUAAUAACCGUGUUGAUUGACGUUACCCGCAGAAGAAGCACCGGCUAACUCCGUGCCAGCAGCCGCGGUAAUACGGAGGGUGCAAGCGUUAAUCGGAAUUACUGGGCGUAAAGCGCACGCAGGCGGUCUGUCAAGUCGGAUGUGAAAUCCCCGGGCUCAACCUGGGAACUGCAUUCGAAACUGGCAGGCUUGAGUCUUGUAGAGGGGGGUAGAAUUCCAGGUGUAGCGGUGAAAUGCGUAGAGAUCUGGAGGAAUACCGGUGGCGAAGGCGGCCCCCUGGACAAAGACUGACGCUCAGGUGCGAAAGCGUGGGGAGCAAACAGGAUUAGAAACCCCAGUAGUCCCA
rnacentral:rRNA from 1 species